ACUCAGGUAGUUUAUUUUAGAAUAUUACGUUGAAAGCGUUAAGGAGUUCCGGCCUUGAGUG
rnacentral:tRNA from 1 species